CUUGAAGUCAUGACCUGAGCCAAAAUCAAGAGUCGGACACUCCAUUGGAAACACCUCAUAGAGUGUAUGUGUGGUUUCCUUUAUUCACGGAGCUAUGUGUUAGAUCUGUGGGAAAGAACUACAAGACACUU
ensembl:snoRNA